AUGCACGACUGGGCGCCGGCGAUCAUAGCGACGGCGCUGUUCGCCCUGCUGUGCCCGGGAGGGAUCCUGCAGCUGCCCGGCCGGCAGCGGACGGUCGACUUCAUGAACCUCAGGACCAGCUGCCUGUCCAUCCUCGUCCACGCCGUCAUCUACGCCGUGCUGCUCAUGCUCUUCGUCGUCAUCUUGCAGGCUCAUCUCUACGUCUGA
rnacentral:rRNA from 1 species